GCUCAGAAUGAACGCUGGCGGCGUGCUUACACAUGCAAGUCGAACGAGAAAUCUUUAGCUUGCUAGAGAAAGUAAAGUGGCGCACGGGUGAGUAACGCGUGGGUAAUCUGCCUCCGAAUCGGGGAUAACAUUGCGAAAGCGAUGCUAAUACCGGAUAAAAUCUGGUUGGCUUCGGUGAACCGGAUCAAAGGUGGUCUCUUUAUAAAAGCUACCGUUUGGAGAUGAGCUCGCGUACCAUUAGCUAGUUGGUGAGGUAAAGGCUCACCAAGGCGACGAUGGUUAGCUGGUCUGAGAGGAUGAUCAGCCACACCGGAACUGGAACACGGUCCGGACUCCUACGGGAGGCAGCAGUGAGGAAUUUUGCGCAAUGGGGGAAACCCUGACGCAGCAACGCCGCGUGAGUGAUGAAGGCUUUCGGGUCGUAAAGCUCUGUCAGGUGGGAAGAACCCACCAAGUGUUAAGACCACUUGGUGCUGACGGUACCACCGAAGGAAGCACCGGCUAACUCCGUGCCAGCAGCCGCGGUAAUACGGGGGGUGCGAGCGUUAUUCGGAAUCAUUGGGCGUAAAGGGCGCGCAGGCGGUUUUGUAAGUCAGAUGUGAAAUCCCGGGGCUUAACCCCGGAAGUGCAUAUGAAACUAUGAGACUUGAGUAUGGGAGAGGGAAGCGGAAUUCCUGGUGUAGCGGUGAAAUGCGUAGAUAUCAGGAGGAACACCGGUGGCGAAGGCGGCUUCCUGGACCAAUACUGACGCUGAGGCGCGAAGGCGUGGGGAGCGAACAGGAUUAGAUACCCUGGUAGUCCACGCAGUAAACGUUGAUCACUAGGUGUAGCGGGUAUUGACCCCUGCUGUGCCGGAGUUAACGCAUUAAGUGAUCCGNCUGGGGAGUACGAUCGCAAGAUUAAACUCAAAGGAAUUGACGGGGGCCCGCACAAGCGGUGGAGCAUUGUGGUUUAAUUCGACGCAACGCGA
rnacentral:rRNA from 1 species